rnacentral:rRNA from 1 species
UACGAAGGGGGCUAGCGUUGUUCGGAUUUACUGGGCGUAAAGAGCGUGUAGGCGGCCAUGAAGGUCCGUUGUGAAAACUGGAGGCUCAACCUUCAGACGUCGACGGAAACCGCGUGGCUAGAGUCCGGAAGAGGAGAGUGGAAUUCCUGGUGUAGCGGUGAAAUGCGCAGAUAUCAGGAAGAACACCAAUGGCGAAGGCAGCUCUCUGGGACGGUACUGACGCUGAGACGCGAAAGCAAGGGGAUCAAACAGG